rnacentral:rRNA from 1 species
GAUGAACGCUGGCGGCGUGCCUAAUACAUGCAAGUCGAGCGAACAGACGAGGAGCUUGCUCCUCUGACGUUAGCGGCGGACGGGUGAGUAACACGUGGAUAACCUACCUAUAAGACUGGGAUAACUUCGGGAAACCGGAGCUAAUACCGGAUAAUAUAUUGAACCGCAUGGUUCAAUAGUGAAAGACGGUUUUGCUGUCACUUAUAGAUGGAUCCGCGCCGCAUUAGCUAGUUGGUAAGGUAACGGCUUACCAAGGCGACGAUGCGUAGCCGACCUGAGCGGGUGAUCGGCCACACGGGAACUGAGGCACGGUCCAGACUCCUACGGGAGGCAGCAGUAGGGAAUCUUCCGCAAUGGGCGAAAGCCUGACGGAGCAACGCCGCGUGAGUGAUGAAGGUCUUCGGAUCGUAAAACUCUGUUAUUAGGGAAGAACAAAUGUGUAAGUAACUAUGCACGUCUUGACGGUACCUAAUCAGAAAGCCACGGCUAACUACGUG